rnacentral:misc_RNA from 1 species
CGUGUUCGGUCGGGACAAGGAAGAAAGUGUUGUAUUUUGAAAACACAGACCUGUCUGCGCCUUAAUGAUCAUAUCUUAUGUUCGCACGGUUAAAGUUGAACCAAUCUGAUCCUCAUAAUGGCUGAAGGCGGACCCUGUCCGGAACUAAACUUACACUUACUACAGUGUCCAAUCUGUCUUGAGCGACUGCGACAACCGAAGUCCUUACCAUGUCUCCAUUGCUUCUGUCAGGAUUGCCUGGGGACCUACAUCAUCAAGGAGUUGUCUGGUAAGAUGGCUUCG